rnacentral:rRNA from 1 species
ACCAAACAGCUAGCUCAAUACAUUAGAAGUAAGAUUAACAACAUAACUUAUCUAUCAAAAACUAACGACACCAACUAAAUCAUUCGACCACCCCAGUACGGGCGACAGAAAAGGACUAACGAAGCCCUAGAAAAA